CCGCGGUAUUCCAGCUCCAAUAGCGUAUAUUAAAGUUGCUGCAGUUAAAAAGCUCGUAGUUGGAUCUGGGGACAAAUACGGAUGGUUCGCUUUCGGGCGUGACUGUCUGUGUGUUCCUACACUGUCGUGGUUGCCUUUGGUGUUCUUCACUGAAUGCUAUUGGUGCCCGACCUGAUUACUUUGAAAAAAUUAGAGUGCUUAAAGCAGGCCUUGUGCUUGUAUAUUGUUGCAUGGAAUAAUGGAAUAGGACUUCGGUUCUAUUUUGUUGGUUUUCGGAAUUGAAGUAAUGAUUAACAGAGACUGCCGGGGGCAUAAGUAUACUGGGGCUAGAGGUGAAAUUCUUGGACCCUCAGUAGACUACCUAUUGCGAAAGCAUUUGCCAAGAAUGUUUUCACUAAUCAAGAACGAAAGUCAGAGGUUCGAAGACGAUCAGAUACCGUCCUAGUUCUGACCAUAAAUGAUAUCAACUAAUUAUUGGCAAAGGCGCUUGUUCGCCCGAGCCAGCAGCCUCCGGGAAACCAAAGUUUUUGGAUCCCGGGGGUAGUAUGGUUGCAAGACUGAAACUUAAAGGAAUUGACGGAAGGGCACCACCAGGAGUGGAGCCUGCGGCUUAAUUUGACUCAACACGGGGAACCUCACCCGGCCCGGACACUCGAAGGAUUGACAGAUUAAUUGCUCUUUCUUAAUUUAGUGGUUGGUGGUGCAUGGCCGUUCUUAGUUGGUGGAGUGAUUUGUCU
rnacentral:rRNA from 1 species